CAUGGAGUACAGAGAUUUUACAAAUGACAACAUAUGACAGAGAAGAGAGGUCACAGUUCUAUGGAGAGUGACACUGCAGAAAACACAGGGUUUCAGGCACAAGAUUGGAGAUACAUGAAUUCUGACAUGGUUGCAGGCACAUGGGGAUGGAGACACUGGGGCAGGCAGGGUCUACACUUACAGGUUUUGGAAACAAAUGAGAAAAUUAAGAGAACACAGAUAAAUUAGUGCUUAGAUAAAAUUUGUAUCCUUAAGUGAAUAUGUUAGGACACUGAAACUGAAGCAUCUCAGCUUCUUUCUCAAAAAUUAAAGCUGAAAAAUAUUGAAGAAUAUUUAAAUAAAAGCAGUAACAGAUGACAACAGACAUCAAUUUAAAAAGUUGGUAGUCACAAAAGUACUACAGAAAAAUAUAAAGAAAGACAUAUUUUAAAAGUUAAGAAAAUAAAUAAACCAAUAACUAAUUGCAGGAAAUUAAAACAGAAGCAGUCUUUAUAGAGCUUACAGAACUUACUAAUACUAAGGAUUUUCCUAAAUUCAUAAAACUAAAAAUUGGACUCUGGAGAUCAAAAUCUGCUACAUUUUGAAAAUCAGUUUUCCAAAAUACAAAUAUCAGAUGAACUAGAAUAAUUCCUAUAUAAUUUAAUAAGUUAAACCAAUUUUUUAAGAAGCCAAAUCAACCAAGAAACAAGUUCCACAAACAAAUUUUGGGUCCAGAUAUAUGGAAUAUUCCAAACUUUUAAGAAAGAAAAAUAAAUUAUAUGUCCCAAACAAGCUCCAAAUGGAACUAAACAGAGAAUAUAUUUAAAUUUCUUUUGGGAAGCCAGUGUUAUAUAUAUGAUGCAAAGAACCUCAGGAUAUGGAUUAAAAAUAAAAUUAAACAGCAUCUGUUUCAUAAACAGGUAAUAUCCUAAGCAAAUUAUUUUUAUAUGAAUUCAGCCAUACAGGAAAACUUGAUAGGUCAGUAACAAGCAAGAGACACUAAAAUGCGAAGAGCCUUCAACAUUCUUUUUUUUUUUUAAUUUUUUUAACAGGCAGAGUGGACAGUGAGAGAGAGAGACAGAGAGAAAGGUCUUCCUUUGCCGUUGGUUCACCCUCCAAUGGCCGCCGCGGCCAGCGCACUGUGGCCGGCGCACCGCGCUGAUCCGAUGGCAGGAGCCAGGAGCUAGGUGCUUUUCCUGGUCUCCCAUGGGGUACAGGGCCCAAGUACCUGGGCCAUCCUCCACUGCACUCCCUGGCCACAGCAGAGAGCUGGCCUGGAAGAGGGGCAACCGGGACAGAAUCCGGCGCCCCAACCGGGACUAGAACCCGGUGUGCCGGCGCUGCUAGGUGGAGGAUUAGCCUAGUGAGCCGCGGCGCUGGCCAGGAGCAUUCAACAUUCUCAAACAGACCCUGUACAACAUCCAGGUAGGUAGAAAAAGUGAGGCAAUUACAUGAUCAUUUAGAUUAAGUGUUUAAAAGCAUUUAAUAAAACUCAGUAUCCAGCAGAAAAAAAAUCAACUUCUGGAAAAAUUGCAAAAACAGUGAUUUGCUGUACAUGAUCAAGAUAGUCUAAAAUGGACCUACAACAAACUACUUAACACAGGAUCAGGGAAAGCUUUUCCCCCGGGAACAGACCCAUGUAUGCCUGCUGCCUUCUCCCCAUCUCUAAAAGGGAAAUAAAACAAAAACAAACAAGCAUCAACCUUUAAAUAAGCCAGAAACUCUGUCAAUAUACCCAGAUGACACCCAUUACAUACAGACAAUGUAAUCCCAAACUACAUACAGCUGACAAGUGAGGGUAACGAGAUCAUUGGGUAAAAUGCUAUUACCGGGCAUCCAAUAUGGGCGCUGGUUCGAGUCCUGGCUGCUCCACUUCCGAUCCAGCUCUCUGCUAUGGCCUGGGAAAGCAGUGGAAGAUGGCCCUGCACCCACAUUGGCGACGGGGAAGAAGGUCCUGGCUCCUGGCUUCAGAUUGGCCCAGCUCUGACCUUGUGGCCAUCUGGGGAGUGACCAGUGGAUGGAAGACCUCUCCCUCCCCCUCCCUCCCCUCUCCUCUCCCCUCUCUCCCUCUGCCUUUCAUUCUUUCUUUCCCUCUGCUAAUGAUCUUUAAAAACCUGUCGUUAAUAACAGCAAGAAAUAGGAAAUCAUAUUAAAGGACAAAAGACUAGAAAACAAGUAUCUAGAAGAAAAACGAAUCAAGAAGAGUCAUUAUGGGACAUCUUUAAACCUUGUUCAAAUGAACAGUACACACACCUACAACUUCCCAGAAGAGAAAUUGUUGGGGAAUAUGUAGAAACACAAGACCAGAAGUAGAUGAACCGCAGUUAGCGGUGACUCACCUGGAGCGGCUUCUGCAGCUCACGGCGAACUCUCGAAGUCCUGUGAGCCUCGCAGGACAUGGAGGUGACAGCGACCACCCAGAGCUCCGGCAACAGAGGCAGCGGCCUCAGACCCCAACAGGCCGGCACUCCCGUCUCCUGGCAACAGCUUCCCCACGUCCACUGUGCCAGCGAGCGUGCUGAUUGGCUAUGGCUUUUGUGACGCCCCGAAUGCCCAUAGGCUUGGCAACUGACCAAUCAGGGGCCCCGGUGAGUGGCUGACAACUUUUUCAUCUCCUGAGACCCCUGUGUCCUAGUCGCGUCCCCGCGGUGGCUCCCCCUUCUCUGCUCUGAGGAGAGGAAGCCGGAGACCUCGCAAGCAGGAAAUGGUCCAGAAACUGCUGAGGUAUGGAUGUAGAUGGUUAAUCAACAGGCAGUCUUGCAUUCUUGAUUCCCGAUAAAGAUGCAGGUGGAAUUUUCUUGCCAAUCACCUCCAAAAAUGGAUCCAAAUAUAUGAAUGUGGAUAUCAGAAUCCUUGAAAUAAGACACAGAAAGAUAAAUACCACACAAUCUCAUAUACACGAGGAAUCCAGGAACAUCAAACUUAAGCACAGAACAGAAUAGUGGUUACCAGGGGCUAAGAAUGAAAGAAAUAAAAUUGUAGUUUAAUGACAUGUAUUUGCAGUUAGGAGAUAAAUUGACUCCUUGAGACCUAAAACACAGCACAGUAUAUUAAAAAUGAAUACAGUGUUAGAUACCACUUGUUAAGAUCUUAAGUAUUUUUUAUAAACCAUAUAAGAUGAUUGACUUGUUAGUUUGAUUGUCCUAUCAUUAAAUAAUAUAUAUGUACAAGAGAGCACAAAAGGUUUGUUAAAAAUAGGAUAAAAUGGGAAUUUUCUAAAAACUUGAAGUCCCCUCACAAAGAGGUUUGUGAAAAAUGGGAUUGCAAGAUAAGGUGAAUUUUCUAUAAGCCUUUAAAAGUCCCCUCACAUGUCAAAACAUCAAGUCACACAACUUGAGUAUAUACAAAUUUUGAAUGUUAAUUAUACUCAAAUAUUCUUGUAAAAUUACACUAUAUUAAAUUAUUAAUUAAAAAUAAUUUAGGAAUCUAGACUUGUAUUUUUGUGAUUGGGAAGGUUACCAUGGAACAAAAAUAAUUUUUAAAGCACUCAUAAAUGUGACUGGCUUAAAUUUCUAUUUUGAAAGUUCAAAGACGAUGAUCACCUGUCAAAGUAAUGUGUAAGGGCUAAGAUGACAUCCAAGUACCACAUUACAGUGGCCUCCUGCCACUCUAACACUUUGAGAAAAACCCUGCACCAAAUAAAUCUGUUUUAAUUCACCUAGUCUGUGACACUUAUGUCAGCAACAUAAAGUGAGGUUAGACCCCAGAAAUUGCUAUGCUGAGAGGUCAAGGUCUGGGACUGAGACCCUGCUCCGACAUCUUCGGAAAACUUUGGGAAUCAGGUCACCCUAGGAAGAAAAGAGGAACCAAGCACCCCAUAAAUGACAGCCCGUCACCUGCAUGAAACCCAUUCCCGCAGCCCGGAUUCUACCUAAUGACCACCUGGUCCCCACUGCACUAUUGGGGAAGAUGCGAGGCUCCUGCCACACAGCUUCCCAGAGACAACUCCUGGGCUCCUGGGCCAAUAAGUCUCUGCCCGGAAAGGACAGGACUCCUGGAGUCAGGGUGCCAGUCCAGCCCCAACACUGUGGACAGAGGGGCUGAGGGAAGCACUGUGCUGGCAGUGAGACAGGACCACAGACUCCAGAGCCCUCAUCACCUUCCCCAUCUCUGCAAGCCCACCCUACACUCAUCUUUUCAUGGCUUCUGAGGGGUGUGCAAUCCUGUGGGGAAAGAUCUUGGAGAACAGUGUAUGAAUCUCCCAGCAGCACAGCUCCCUCCUAGGAUCUCUCUCUGCGGCAGAACUGGACAACAAUUAUGGCAUCAAGAUCCCACACAAUUAUGUAGCAUUUAUGCAUCACUCCUGAUUGGACAGUUUAGAUAGCCAUGAGCAUGUACAGUGUCAUAAAAGAUGCAACCAAUCAGCAUCCUCCACAGUGCUGACAUGCCAAAUAGGAAAAAAUAAGAGGGGAGAUCUGGGUUCAGUACCAAAACUUCAUUCUCCAGUGCUCCACCCUGCCUGCCAUGGGAGGGCUUUUCAUUCCUGGUCCUGCCUCCUGCUGGGCUCUCUCCUGUUCCCUGGUCCCUGUCACUCCGAGGAUCCUACCUGGAGGUGGCAGGACCCUACUUCAGGUAAGUGACAAUCUAAUGGAUAUUUACUGGCCUCUGAGCCUUCUUUUUCAAUUUACACAAGAUAUGUUUCUCGAGUCAUUUGUGUUUUUUUUUUAAAUAUUGAUUUAAAGAAUUUUUAAAGACAUAACAUAAUUUAAUGAUUUUUCCUUUCCCUUGCCAAUUUGUUUCUCAUUUCCAAUUGUCCUUAAAUAUUAUUUUCUGUGCUUUUUGCUGGUUGUAUGUGUGUGUGUGUGUGCAUGUGUCUUUCCAGUAAUCUCAUUUGUCAGUUGUAUUUGUUUUUAUAUUUCAUGGAUUAGCUCUGUGUAUAAACAUCACCAAUAAUUCAUACUUUCUGCUCAGAAAUUGACUUAUUUUACAGGCAGAGUAGUAGACAGCAAGAGAGACAGAAAGAAAGGUCUUCCUUCCAUUGGUUCACUCCCCAAAUUGCUGCUAUAGAUGGUGCUGCACUGAUCCAGAGCCAGGAGCCAGGAGUCAGGUGCUUCUUCCUGGUCUCCCAUGUGGGUGCAGGGACCCAAGCACUUGGACCAUCCUCCAAUGCUAUCCCUGGGCCACAGCAGAGAGCUGGACUGUAAAAGGAGCAACCAGAACUAGAAUUCAGCACCCUUAUGGGAUGCUGGCACCGCAGGUGGAGGAUUAACCAAGUAAGCCAUGGAGCCGGCCCUCAGAAACUGAAUUUUACACUUUAUAACUUCUUUUUUGCUGUUAUAUUUCAUUGACUAUUCCUGCAGUAGAAAGUUGAGGACAAUGAGCACAGGCAUAGGGGUCUAGAUUUACUUCCAGAGGAAAACAAAUUCAAUCACUCUAUAUUAGUUGUGUUUGUUGUAGAUUCAUUUCUCUGUUGAUUAUAUUAAGAAACUCGUUGGAUUUUUGUUGUAUUUUGUUUGUUACUCUGUUCUCAAUGUUUUAAUUGGGCGCUGAACUUUAUUAAAUGCUUUUAAACAUGUAACUCAAGUGAGCAUGUGAUUUUCUUCUCGUAGUUUUUUACCUGCCUGGGUGACUUUUCAGGAAAUCUUACCAACAUUUGCAUUUUUAUUAUAUAUUGUUUGCUAUUGAUUUUUUUAUAUUUGUAUAUGUGAUUUCAUUUAUUAUAUUAAUAUUUUGUUUAGGGUACUUCUAGCUCUGUUUAUGAAAGGGAUACUUUUAAGUAAAUUAAUUUUUAUUAAGUGGUCCACCUGCAUCAUUAUCAAUGUAAUGCUGAUUUUCCAAAAGAAAUUUUAAAAUAUGAUCUUCUUAUUUCCACAUUGGGUAGGUCUGGGAAACAUAGAUUUUUCUUUUCUUCCACAAAAGUUUGGAGUAUUCUGUAAGUCUGGAUCCCAAAUUCAGAUUUGUGUGACUUUCCCAUGGUUUUCUUGGAUCUUUAUAGAUUGUUUUUCACUGAGGAUUCACGUGACUUUUUUUCCCUCAUAAUUAGACCAGGUUUCUGAGUUUUUGAGGGUAGUUUUUGAUUUUUAUUGCAUCACAACAAGAAUAAGUCACUGUCAACAUGAUAUCACUGUUGAUGUUGGUAUGGAACACCUGGUGGCAGUAGUAUUUCUCAGCUUUCUCUAAUGUGAAGCUACUCUGUCCUACCUCAAGUCCUUUUCUAUACUCUUUGGAAAGGGGUCACUAUGUAUAGCCCAUGCUUAAGGAUUAGAGAGUUAGACACAUAUCAUUAAAGGUGGAAUUUAUUUGGGAUUCUUUGCCUGGAGGAAUUGUCUCCCCACUCCUUUAUUUGUGUAUUCAAUCAUUCAUUCAUGUCACUGUUGAUUCAGGAACAUUUACUUUAUACUUUGAAUAUUAUCCAAUAGUAGCGACCUUCAAAGAGUUUGCAGAAAAUACACAUUAUGAUAAAAGAAACUUAUACUUGAUUGCAAAAUUUUGAACCAAAGUAAACAUAUCUUAAUUCAACUUUCCACAAAAUUUUCAAGUCCCUAUACCAAUUCAUUUAUGUUAUUACUUUAAAUUAUUCCAGUUUUGGCCAUUGGAAAAUUUUUCAUCUGGUUCCAUUGUCAUGCCCCCUCAUGAUGGGAUCAUUUACUCAUUAGGGACACAUCUUUUAUUCUCUGGCACUGUAAGAUAUCCCAGGCUCAUAUUUGUAUAUCUCCUUGCCUGAUACUGAGACUCAGCCAUUUUUUCAAAGAGCUCUGGAUCCUUUAAUUUUAGAAUUGUUUUAGAAUUCAAGAUAUGGGCACUAUGUAUGUUCAAUGCUGCUGGGUUGUUGCUAUAUACAAACCCUGUCAGCUGUCAGAGCAAGGAAAUGUAUGUAUACUACUCUGUGUAUACAUACAUAGGAGUAUAAAUAUUCCUAUACUCUCUGUAUCUAUGUAUACAUGUAUGUAUAUUUAUAUUUAUAUGUAUAUGUAUCUAUCUAUCUUAAGCUAUGUUCUUAUUGUCUCCAACUCCAAUUCUUGACCACAGGAAUCAUUUUAGCCACCUCUCUUUGCUUUUCUGUAAACUUCUUUUCCAGAAUCUUGUUUUAAAAAUAUUCCAGUGCCAGCAUUGUGUUUCAGUGGAUUAAACUACUAGCCGUGAUGCUGGCAUCCUGUAUGAGCAUUGGUUCAAGUCCUGGCUGCUUGACUUCUGAGCCAGCUCUCUCUUAAUGCACCAUAGGAAAACAGCAGAAGAAGGGCAAAGUACUUGGACUCCUACCACCUAUGUGGGAGACCUGGAUAGAGUUCUUGGCUCCUGGCUUCAGCAUGGCCAAGUCCUGUCUAUCAUGGACAUUUGGAGAGUGGACUAUUAGAUGGAAGAUCUCUCUCUCCCUCACUGUUUCUAUAACUGCCUUUAUAAAUAUUUGAAGACUUUUACUUAACUUCAUUCUAAAAAUAUGUCUCUGUUUUCAUGUAUGCUUAUAUGUAUAUCACAGAAUACUUGGAAAUUUAAUAUAGGCUAUGGGAAGAGAUCGAAUCUCCUAUAUUUAAUCUUUUAACAUUUACACACAUGUAUACAUACACUUUUACAAACAAAACUAUGACCAAAAUAGAUAUGGUAUUUUGUAGUCUACUCAACAAUGUAUAAUGAGCUUCUCCAUUCAUGUUAACUAUUCUUUUUAAAGGUCAUAAUUUUAAUUGGCUGAACAUAUUAACCUCUCCUUUGACUACUUAAGUUUUAACAAUUUUUCUGUGAUGAGUAACUAUAGGAAACACUCUUUAUGUAAGUCAUUAUGCAUAUGUCUGAUUUUUAAGUUUAGACUGCUUUGUGUAAGUUGAAUUACUAGGCCUGAGAGUAAUUAUUGGGUCCCAGAGUAGGGACAUUUUAAGUACUGUGAUAAGUAAUGCUAAACUUCCCUAUAGAAAAGACAGCAGCAAUUUAGCUACCUACCAAAAUUGUAUAAGUCAUUUUCUUAAGAAAAUGCUUAGUAAUAAGAGGUAUUGAAAAAUUUUAAAGGAAUCACCGAGUCAUUAAAAUGUCAUCUCACUGUUGUUUUGAAUUAAAUUUGUUUUAUAAGAUGGCAGAAUAGUGAGGGCGUGCACCGAUAGCACGGGAAAAUUUAGUUUAAUAAAAGCAGAGUUAGGGUAGCCUCAGAAAAAGGAUCAGGAAAAAAUUGCAGAGGAAACUCUUCCGAAGCUAUUGGCUAUGACUCAGAGGACCUACUGGGAGAGCAGGGUCGCCCACCGUGUGGAAGCCGAACCGAGGGAGCCGCAGAGACUGAGUGCCAGUGCGGGAAGGGGAGUCGAUGUGACACAGACACCAGCAGGGAGAGGAGGGACGCCCAGGGCUCUGAGUCCACACAUCGGCGCUGGAAGCGGAGGUGAGCUCAGUAACUGGAGACAUUGGCGGGGAAACGGUGGACAGAAUUUUAGAGGGAAGCAGGCUUUGAAGUGGGAAAGUUCACCAGACUGACUACAGGAGAGAAGGAAAAAAAAUAAAUAAAUUAAAAAAAAUGUGGGGGCGUACUGGUACAGACAAGUUCCUCUCUCUGCCAACCUUGCAAAGGCGAGCAAGAGACAAAGAGCUGCGAUAUACAUAAUAAAAGGGGAGAGUUAAGGCUACAAUUCAGUAGCCUAGGCAACCCAGCGGGAGUCCGCAGAGAAAUGGAGCCUGCACAGACUCUUUGGGUAGAAGCCAGAGAUCGGAAGCUAAAUACCAUCCAUUCUGCUCAUCCUUGCAGUAUUACUUACCUCCUGAAUAAAAAAUAAAAUAAAAUAAAAUAAAAUAAUAAAUAAAUAAAUAAAGAGAGAUUUACCACGCAUAACCUGAGGGUGUCACCUUUGCACACCCUUAACCAGGAAGAACCAGGCAGAGCUCUCAGGCCACACCCAUCUCAAGACUCCAAGGCUCCUCCAACAGCAGGCAGUCCACUUAACACAGACAUAGUAUAAAAAAAAAAAAACUCACAGUGAGGGAAAAAGAAUUAACCAUGCCAAGCAAUAAACACAGAAAUUGAGGGAACAAGAUCAACGAUGACACUAUGAUGCCUCCAAAUAAACAAAACACCCCAAGCCAAGAUUAUGAAGAUGAUGAGAUAGAAGAAAUGCAAGAUACGGAUUUCAAAAAAUUUAUGAUAACAUUUAGAAGUUUUCAAAAGCAAAUCAUUGAACUACAGAAAUCCUUAUUGGACAGGAUUGAAAAUCUCUCUCGUGAAAAUGAAAUUUUAAGGAAGAAUCAAAAUGAAACGCAGAAACUAGUAGAACAAGAAAGUGUGAUAGUGAAGAGAAAUCAAAAUGAAAUGAAGAGCUAAAUUGAUCAAAUGACCAACACAUUAGAGAGCCUUAAAAACAGAAUGGGUGAAGCAGAAGAGAGAAUAUCGGAUUUAGAAGACAGAGAACAGGAAAGGAUUCCGUCAGACCAAAGAAAAGAAGAGGAAAUUAGAAAUCUAAAAAAUAUUGUUGGAAAUCUACAGGAUACUAUUUAAAAAACUAACAUUCGAGUUCUAGGAGUUCCUGAAGGCAUGGAGAGAGAGAAAGGAUUAGAAGGCCUUUUUAGUGAGAUACAAGCAGAGAACUUUCCGGGUUUGGAGAAGGACAGAGACAUCCUAGUACAGGAAGCUCAUAGAACCCCCAGUAAACUUGACCAAAAGAGAUCCUCACCACGACAUGUUGUAAUUAAACUCACCACAGUGAAACAUAAAGAAAAGAUCCUAAAAUGUGCAAGAGAGAAACGUCAGAUUACUCUCAGAGGAUCUCCAAUCAGACUCACAGCAGACUUCUCAUCAGAAACACUACAGGAUAGGAGGGAAUGGCGAGACAUAGCACAGGU